rnacentral:rRNA from 1 species
UACGUAGGGUCCGAGCGUUGUCCGGAAUUACUGGGCGUAAAGAGCGUGUAGGCGGCCAGGUAGGUCUGGUGUGAAAACUCGAGGCUUAACCUCGAGAUGUCAUCGGAAACCAUCUGGCUAGAGUCCGGAAGAGGAGAGUGGAAUUCCUGGUGUAGCGGUGAAAUGCGCAGAUAUCAGGAAGAACACCAAUGGCGAAAGCAGCUCUCUGGGACGGUACUGACGCUGAGACGCGAAAGCGUGGGGAGCGAACAGG